rnacentral:rRNA from 1 species
CACGUAGGGGCCAAGCGUUGUCCGGAAUCAUUGGGCGUAAAGAGCGUGUAGGCGGCCCGGUAAGUCCGCUGUGAAAGUCCAGGGCUCAACCCUGGGAUGCCGGUGGAUACUGUCGGGCUCGAGUCCGGAAGAGGAGUGUGGAAUUCCUGGUGUAGCGGUGAAAUGCGCAGAUAUCAGGAGGAACACCAAUGGCGAAGGCAGCACUCUGGGACGUGACUGACGCUGAGACGCGAAAGCGUGGGGAGCAAACAGG